AUUGAACGCUGGCGGCAUGCCUUACACAUGCAAGUCGAACGGUAACAGGUCUUCGGGUGCUGACGAGUGGCGAACGGGUGAGUAAUACAUCGGAACGUGCCCGAUCGUGGGGGAUAACGCAGCGAAAGCUGUGCUAAUACCGCAUACGAUCUACGGAUGAAAGCGGGGGAUCGCAAGACCUCGCGCGGACGGAGCGGCCGAUGGCAGAUUAGGUAGUUGGUGGGGUAAAGGCUCACCAAGCCUGCGAUCUGUAGCUGGUCUGAGAGGACGACCAGGCACGCUGGGACUGAGACACGGCCCAGACUCCUACGGGAGGCAGCAGUGGGGAAUUUUGGACAAUGGGCGUAAGCCUGAUCCAGCCAUGCCGCGGGCAGGAUGAAGGCCUUCGGGUUGUAAACUGCUUUUGUACGGAACGAAAAGGUUCUUUCUAAUAAAGAGAGCUCAUGGCGGUACCGUAAGAAUAAGCACCGGCUAACUACGUGCCAGCAGCCGCAGUAAAAC
rnacentral:rRNA from 1 species